CGAACGGGUGAGUAACGCGUGAGCAACCUGCCUAUGACAGUGGGAUAGCCUCGGGAAACCGGGAUUAAUACCGCAUAAAAUCGUAGAAACACAUGUUUUAACGGUCAAAGAUUUAUCGGCCAUAGAUGGGCUCGCGUCUGAUUAGCUAGUUGGUGAGAUAACAGCCCACCAAGGCGACGAUCAGUAGCCGGUCUGAGAGGAUGAACGGCCACAUUGGAACUGAGACACGGUCCAA
rnacentral:rRNA from 1 species